GCGCCAACGGCGCAGCGCUGGGCCGCGACCCCGGCACCGGCACCCUGUCCGAGGGUUCGCGCCGCAGGCGCAAAGUUUAGGGUCAGCCACGAACGCGCGGCGGAUUUGAGCCUGGCGUAAGAGGCGGCGGCGUAAGGAGGCGUUGUGAAUGGCUGGUCGAAGUUUGGUUGAAGCACAACAGGGUAAAUAAGAAGGUUUCCAGACAAAGAGACUCUUAAAGCAGCAGCCCGCAAACUGUGGGGUUUCCGAAGGCAGCGUUUGCAAAAGUUACUGUUGGCUCCCAGGCGGGCGAGCACGUGUCUGGCUUUUGCCACAGAUGACCCAAGAGAGAUUCAGCUGUUUUAUGGAAAUCCCCCCCAAGGAAGAGGAUCGCUGCUGGAACUGAAGUGGAAUGCAGAUAUGGAGCUGAUCAGCCUGCUUUGACAUUGUGGGUAAGGAACUAUCCUGGGAGUGGCUGAAUCAGAGAGAAGGAAACCAAGCUCCUGAUAACCUUGUAUAGUUAAAUCUGCCCUAGACCAUCUGAUU